CAAAAGUUCAAAUGGAUUUAAAUUGCAGGUUUGAAUCUCAGACUUCCAAAUAUCAAAUAAAAUUCUAAUAUGAAUAAUACUACCACUUUUUGCAAUAACCUAGUAUUAUUUUUUUAUUCUUUUUAGCUCCUUUGCUCCCAUAUUUUUUAGAGUUCAAAUUUAAAUCCAAAGCUAGAUUUGUUUUAAUUAUAAAUUUGUGUUUGAUGCAGAAACAAAGGAAGUCCAACAUGAUGCAUCAGUUUAUGUGUUUUUAUCUGGUAUUUAUUUGAAAGAAAAUAUACCUCAUGAAUAAACCACAUACUCAAAAGAGCUCCUUUAUUAUUUUCAAUAACAAAAGUCAUGGGUACUCUAUACUAGGGUUUACAAGAAGAAGCACUACAAGCACCUCCAACUCAAGUCUGGGCGACUAUUCAAAGAAACCAUCCAGUGGAUCAAAUUCUG
rnacentral:lncRNA from 7 species